CAGCGAACGAGGAAGAUACACCCUCACCUGGAAAACAUUAUGCUGCGUGAAUAUGUCAAUUUAGAAGAAAACUUUGGCACUUGGAGCCUCAAGGUCAUGGAGAAACAAGAAGACUGCAGUUUCGGCCAUGAUCUCCAGGUGUCACGAGGUCCUGG